AGACAAAUAGGUUUGGUCCUGGCCUUUCUAUUGACCUUUAGCAAGAUUACACAUGCAAGCCUCCCCGCCCCAGUGAAGACGCCCUACAAAUCACUAUGACUAAGAGGAGUGAGUAUCAAGCACGCACAUGCAGCUCAAAACACUUUGCUCAGCCACACCCCCACGGGAAACAGCAGUGACAAACCUUUAGUAAUAAACGAAAGUUUAACUAAGCUAUGCUACACCAAGGGUUGGUCAAUUUCGUGCCAGCCACCGCGGCCACACGAUUAACCCGAGCCAAUAGAGACCGGCGUAGAGAGUGUUUUAGACCCAGCCUAAUUAAAGCUAAACCCCACCUAAACUGUAAAAUCCUAGCUAACAUAAAAUAAACUACGAAAGUGGCUUUAAAACCUCUGAAUACACAACAGCUAAGACCCAAACUGGGAUUAGAUACCCCACUAUGCUUAGCCCUAAACCUCAGUAGUUAAACCAACAAAACUACUCGCCAGAAUACUACAAGCAACCGCUUGAAACUCAAAGGACUUGGCGGUGCUUCACCCCCCUAGAGGAGCCUGUCCCAUAAUCGAUAAACCCCGAUCCACCCCACCCUCUCUUGCUCAGCCUAUAUACCGCCAUCUUCAGCAAACCCUGAUAAAGGUCACAAAGUGAGCGCAAGUACCCCUUUUCGCAAAAACGUUAGGUCAAGGUGUAGCCUAUGAGACGGAAAAAGAUGGGCUACAUUUUCUAUCCUAGAAAACCCACGAUAACUCUCAUGAAACCUAAGAGUCCAAGGAGGAUUUAGCAGUAAAUUAAGAAUAGAGUGCUUAAUUGAACAAGGCCAUAAAGCACGCACACACCGCCCGUCACUCCCCUCAAAUAUACUUAAGGACUAUAUUAACUAAACACCCUAAUACCUAUAUAGAGGGGAUAAGUCGUAACACGGUAAGUGUACCGGAAGGUGCACUUGGAUAAAUCAAGGU
rfam:Cercopithecus aethiops sabaeus mitochondrion, complete genome.